ACAUUACAGUGUGGCCCGCCCUAGUUGAGAUGAGGACCGUGGGUGAGGCGGUGUCACAGAAGGACUGGAGCUGCCUUACCUGGGCUGUGGAAAUGUGUGUGAGUGGGAUGGCUGAACACAGGAAGAGAUUCUGGAACUGCAUCUCUGUGGAAGAGAAAGAGUGAGCCGAGUCAGGGGGCGAGCAUGGGAUGGAGCAGUGUGAGUACGAGCCCACAGCGUUUACUGUCAGCGUGACCCUUGUUCUGGGAUUUAGAAAUCGCUCAUAGAGAUGGGAGUCCGUGGCGCAGGACGUACGGAUGAUGGCGGGCGAGAUAGUGUGCUGCUUGCCAUGGGGCUUGAGCCUGACUCCCACCAUGUGAAGGAAGCUUCAGUGCUGCUGCCUCCCCCUCUCCCUCCCUCCCCUCCCCCUCCCCUCCCCCCUCUUCCCCUCUCCAUUUGUCAGGGGUGGGGCGGGGGAGACUGAAGAGGAUUUCAGUAGCGGUCAGAUGAUUAACUUUGUGUCCCAAGAUGAAACUUGGGGUUUAAUCUGUAGACACAAAGAAGCCUGAACAUGCUUUCUCUAUGAAAGAUGUGGUUUUUGGAAGGUUCUGUAGAAAGUCUUCUAGUAGCAGUGUGUGGAGAGGCAGAUGGGGCAGGUAGAAGGUGUUGGCAGGAGAGAUUAGAGACAGUGUAAUAUACAGCCUUGUGACAAUGAGCAUGGCAGCUGGAGUGAGGACACAGAGGAAUAAAGCAACCAGUAGCCUUGAGUUAGUGACUUUCUGGGUGUGGAAGAAGGGAAUUCAGGAGCUCGUUCAGGUUUCAGGGAGUUGAACAUGUGGGAAGAAAAGCUUUGGGGGCGAGGGGACUGGCAGGUCUGACACCAAGGAGCGGUGCCACAUCACAUUCCUGGGCCUCCUGUGUGGGGCUGGGCUCAGGCAAGGCAGGGCGCUUCACUGCACCAGCUGUUUCUGGACUCCAGGAAUUUGUAGCUACCACUCCCUCCCUCCCUCCCUCCCUCCCUCCCUGGCCCUCCUCCUCUCCCUCCCUGUCUUUCACCAAGAUGGAUUACAUAAUGGAUCUACCACUCAGUGACAAAAUUUUCAUCUUUUUUUAGAUUUAAUAAUGAUUGACAAGACCAUAGGAUAAGAGGGAUACAGUUCCACACAAUUCCCACCUCUGUAGUUCUUCAUCCCAUCCCCUUCAUUGGGAGCGUGGACCCAGGAUCAUUACAGGGUGCAGAAGGUGGAAGGUCUGGCUUCUGUAAUUUCUCCACUGGACAUGGGUGUUGGCAGGUGGAUCCAUAUUUCCAGCCUGUUUCUAUUGUUCCCUAGUAGGACAGGGCUUUUGGGGUGAUGGGGUUCCAGGAGAGAGAGACAGACAGACAGACACUGCCAGCACUGCUUUUCUACUAGUGUAGCAACCCCCCUGCAGAUGAGGACCAGGGACUUGAACCUGGGAAGUUAGGCGUGAUGAUGUGUAUGUUCACAACUGCUCCCCCACCCCCCUUAAUAUUUGAAGCACAUCACUUUGUCACGUCUGAUCUUUCUGGUUUAAUUAAAUUUUUUUUUUUUUAACCAGAGCACUGCUCAGCUCUGGCUUAUGGUGGUGUGGGGGAUUGAACCUGGGACUUUGGAGCCUCAGGCAUGAGAGACUCUUUGCAUAACCAUUAUGCUAUCUACCCCCACCCUUAAUUUUCUUUUCUUUCUUUUAUUAUUAUUAUUUAUUGGAUAGAGACAGCCAGAAAUCAAGAGGGAAGGGGUGAUAGAGAGACAGAGAAACCUACAAACCUGCUUCACCACUUGCAAAGCUUUCCCCCUGCAGGUGGGGACGGGGGCUUGAACCCAGGUCCUUGAGCAUUGUAACAUGUGCGUUCAACCAGCUGUGUCACCACCCGGCCCCAGUAGUAGUGUCUUUUAACUGCAGGAAUUUAUUCUGAGAAAUAGUUGUAGGCCCCUUCCUCCUUUUGUAAACAUUACAGAGCAAAAUUGUGCGAGCCUAGGUAGAUCAGUCCAUCCCUACCUAGACUGCAUGGUACAGAGUCACACUGGAAGACCCGUAGCUAGCAGCGAAUUGUUGUCAAGGUUGUCCAGGUAGCUUGAGAGUUCCAGAGGAGUCCUGUCCGCUGUCAUCACUCUAACGACGAAGCAAGGGCAUCAAACCGACUUCCAGCAUCACACUUUGAAUAGUGGUCUCUGGCUUUCUGCCUUUAUCCUGUGGAUUGUUUUUAGUUUUAGGAUUUUUUUAAUUUACCAGAGCACUGCUCAGCUCUGGCUUAUGGUGGUGUGGAGUCUUUAUAACCUGGGACCUUUGGUGACUCACACAUGGAAGGUUUUUUUUUCGUAGAACCAUUGUGCUAUCUCCCUAGCCCACACUUACUUUCUUUUACUUGGUGACCAGAAGUGAAGUUGGGUUUUUUUUUUUUUUUUUUUUUUGCCUCCAGGGUUAUUGCUGGGGCUCAAUGCCUGCACUACGAAUCCACUGCUCCUGGAGGCCAUUUUUUCCCUUUUGUUGCCCUUCCUUGUUGUUUAUUGGUGGUGGUGUUACUAUUGGUGGUGGUGUUGUUGGAUAGGAGAGAGAAAUGGAGAGGGGGAGAGAAGGAGAGACACCUGCGGACCUGCUUCACUGUCUGCGAAGUGACUCCCCUGCAGGUGGGGAGCCGGGGUCUUGAACCAGGAUCUCAAACUGGGAUCCUUCCGCAGGUCCUUGCGCUUUGCGCCACAUGCGCUUAACCCACUGCGCUACCGCCCGGCCCCCAAAGUUGGGGUUUUGAACAUGUGAUACUGCUGAGUGGCCUCCCAGAUUACCACCACCACCCACCUUUCUUUUUGCCUGCCUGCCUGCCCGCCUACCUGCCUGCCUUCCUUCCUUCCUACUGUCCUUCCUUCCUUGCUUUCUUUCUGUUUAGACAGAGGGAAAGAUACCACAGCACGCUCUUCCAAUUACAUUGCUUACAUGUGGUUUAGUCCAGGGCUCGAGUUCAGGACUCUGUCCACAGUGAAGUCUACUAAGCAAGCUAGCCGCCAUCUCUGUUUCUAUCUUCAAGUCAGUCUGAGCCCGCUCCUUGCCUCUGCCAUGCCCGUUGAUUUGCAUGUAGUGUCAGUGAGGCCUGUGUACUGUGUCUCCCAGCUGUGGUGCCUGGCACAGCACUCCACAGCAGUGUCGGGCCAGUUUGGGAAGUUGUCUGUAUCGAGAGCCCUCUCCAGCCAUCUAUGCUUCUCUUCCUAAUUGUCAUCCUACUAGUCAGGAAAGUUUUCUGACUGAACAGUCUGCUAAAAAGCCCACGUGUUUCUGAAUUUAGGAGAAACUGCUCUUUUUGUAAUUGAAAGGCAUUUCUUGAGUGACUGUGCUGAUAAACUUGUCAUAGGCCUGGCUGCUGCCUACACAGACUUUACAAGAACCAGAGCCAUUCUUUGAUUCAUAACUCGUGGGUGUUAUUAAACGCUGGCCCAAACACCAUCUUGACUGUCUGUUCUUGAGCCUGUGACUUUUUGAGGGUCCUUGUGCACGGUAAGGGGUGCACUGUACUUGGUGAGCUCUCUCCCUGCCUCCCUUAGAGCUUUUGAAUCCAGUGCUCACAACUCCCAUAUUACAGAGAAGGUGUUCAGUGGGGUACUUCGAUUAAACAGUUUCGUCUUGACGCUUCCUUCCCUAUGGCAUUGAAGCUGUCACUGCUCACUUGAAGUGUAAUGGAACUAGUAGUGGAUUGCUAAACGUCCAAACCUCAGUGUCUGACUUUGGAGCAGGCGGCCUUGACUUUGUGAGAACCAUGAAGCCGUCCACGCGACACGAGAAUACAGUAUGCAGAGGGAUUCAGUGCCCCGCCGCUCAUCUCAAGCCCGGUGUUGAGUUUUCUAGUUUUUCUGCUGGUUAUUUGUAUAUCUCAGAGGUAAUGAAAGGGUCCUCUGCUCUCCCUCUCAACUUUGACUUGUCCAUGUUUAACAGUCUGGGCUGAUGCUGCCUUCAUGGAAUGUGCAAAAUUCGCAAAUGCCCCUUGAUACACCGUCAGUGACAUUCACCUUAGCCUUUUACUCACCCGGUGCCUUGCCUUGUGGUGUGUGUGACCCAGGUUUGAGCCCCAGCACCACCACCUGUGAAUGCCACAGUGCAGGGGGAGGGAAGCCUUGGUGCUGUGUCUCUCCCUCUCUCCCUGUCUGUCUCUUUUUCUCUAUCUGACGUAGAAAGGAAUGAGAAAGUCAUCUCAGGAGUGGGUAAACCACACAUGUGCAAGGCCCAGGCACAACAAAACAAGACAAAAACAAUAUCAACAGCAGCAGUCAUUCCCCCCCCCCCAAGAAAAAAAAAAACCAGAAGCAGCCAGCCUGAAGAGCUAUGGUGUACUUACCCCUGGAACAUGGGAGGGCGGGGACCUGUGCAGUCUUAACAAUCUGGUAACCCACUGUUGGUCACAAAGUAAAUAAAUGAAUGUAAAAAAAAAAA